rnacentral:rRNA from 1 species
GACGUAGGGCGCAAGCGUUGUCCGGAAUUAUUGGGCGUAAAGAGCUCGUAGGCGGUCUGUCGCGUCUGCUGUGAAAACCUAGGGCUUAACUCUGGGCGUGCAGUGGGUACGGGCAGGCUAGAGUGCGGUAGGGGAGACUGGAAUUCCUGGUGUAGCGGUGAAAUGCGCAGAUAUUAGGAGGAACACCGGUGGCGAAGGCGGGUCUCUGGGCAGUAACUGACGCUGAGGAGCGAAAGCGUGGGGAGCGAACAGG